UACGUAGGGUGCGAGCGUUAAUCGGAAUUACUGGGCGUAAAGCGUGCGCAGGCGGUUCGUCGUGUCUGAUGUGAAAGCCCCGGGCUCAACCUGGGAAUUGCAUUCGAGACUGCAUGGCUAGGGUGCGGAAGAGGGAAGCGGAAUUUCCGGUGUAGCGGUGAAAUGCGUAGAUAUCGGAAGGAACACCAGUGGCGAAAGCGGCUUCCUGGUCCAGCACCGACGUUCAGGCACGAAAGCGUGGGGAGCAACAGG
rnacentral:rRNA from 1 species